UACGUAGGGUGCGAGCGUUAAUCGGAAUUACUGGGCGUAAAGCGUGCGCAGGCGGUUUGCUAAGACCGAUGUGAAAUCCCCGGGCUUAACCUGGGAACUGCAUUGGUGACUGGCAAGCUAGAGUGUGGCAGAGGGGGGUAGAAUUCCACGUGUAGCAGUGAAAUGCGUAGAGAUGUGGAGGAAUACCGAUGGCGAAGGCAGCCCCCUGGGCCAACACUGACGCUCAUGCACGAAAGCAUGGGGAGCAAACAGG
rnacentral:rRNA from 1 species